rnacentral:rRNA from 1 species
UACGUAGGUGGCGAGCGUUAUCCGGAAUUACUGGGUGUAAAGGGUGAGUAGGCGGGAGAGCAAGUCAGGUGUGAAAUGCAGGGGCUUAACCCCUGAACUGCACUUGAAACUGUUCUUCUUGAGAGUCGGAGGGGUAAUCGGAAUUCCCAGUGUAGCGGUGAAAUGCGCAGAGAUUGGGAGGAACACCAGUGGCGAAGGCGGAUUACUGGACGACAACUGACGCUGAUACACGAAAGCGUGGGGAGCAAACAGG